rnacentral:rRNA from 1 species
UACGUAGGGACCAAGCGUUGUUCGGAUUUACUGGGCGUAAAGGGCGCGUAGGCGGCACCGCAAGUCGACUGUGAAAUCUCCGGGCUUAACCCGGAGCGGUCAAGUGAUACUGUCGUGCUAGAGUGCGGAAGGGGCUACUGGAAUUCUCGGUGUAGCGGUGAAAUGCUUAGAUAUGACAUAGAACACCAAUUGCGAAGGCAGCUCGCUACACAUAUAUUGACUCUGAGGCACGAAAGCGUGGGGAUCAAACAGGA